AAUCAUAUAAAUACGCGACUUCUCGUCUUCGAUGCCCAAAUUGUUUGUUUCGACUGCUACUUGGCAUUUUCUGGCGAUACUGUAUACCGGCUAGAGCUAAUUGGACGUGAAUUUAGUAUGAAUAGGUCGCCAUCUGGCGUGAAGAGUUUGUAAUUCAACUUUAAACUCGAUUUACUUCACGAUGUUGCUCUAUGGAAUAUGUAGAAAGGUACUUUGACCAAGAAAGUGGACAAAGAAGUGACAGAAUAAAGAGGAAUUUAUUAUUAUUAUUCGGGGAUUAAAUUAAAUCAACGCAUGUUUUCAUCAUUGGAAGGACGUUCAAUGAUAAAUGUCCUUCGAUCUGCCGUACAUUUUUAUCAAUUUCAUCCCUCUUUCUGCUUCGUCAUCUCUGCCGUCCCCGUUUUCUGCGUCCCUUAAUCUUUCCUACAUAAACUUUCUCAUUUCUAAUUUUUCGAUAUUUUCUCUAUAUAUUUAUUCUAGCCACUUCAAAAUUUUCUAAAAAUUUUUUUCUAACCUUUCGAAAUAUACGAUAAUUUUUUUUAUGAAACUGUAGAUAGAUCUUUUCACUUUAAAAUUUAUUUAAUUUUCAGUUUUAAAAUGUUGAAUUAAUUGGAAAUGGACUACAAACCCUGAACGAGAGAUGCGACCUUUGGUAUAAGAGAAUAAAGAUAAACGUGUAAUUUGUCUACGGAAAAGUGUACGUACGACUGUGAUUAUGAGUGUCAUCAAUCGUGAGAAAGUAUGUAUAUAUUCGCGACCUUUUACAUCGUCACCGUUAAUUCACAACGUCCUCGCAAUAAAUUAGGACGAAACUCACGGCCAGCUUACUAUGUACUUGCCUACGUGCCCGGUGAACUUCGCCAGAUCUAUCGAUGGAAAAUAAACGGCAUAUCCAUUAUGAUGUUAUUUUACGGUGUAAUUUUACGACGAUUUCGCUACGAUCAAAACUGGAACGAUCAUUUUUUUUUUUUUUAACAAAUAUAAUAAAAUUUCACGUUGCAAAAUUAUUCCUUAGACCAGUGUCUCUCAAUUCUUUUUUGAGUUGUGAUCUUUUUUUGUGAUAUAUUUCAAAUAAUUUUUGAUAUCAUUUGAUAUUUGAUUAUUUUUUUUCUAUAUAUAGGAUAUUCAUUAUAAAAUAUUCAAUUGAGAUCAACAUCAAGCAAUGAAGGUUGAGUCCACAGGUUAAGAGUCACUAUUAAAGAUGAGAAAAAAAUCAACGUUGUUUUAGAAUUAAAAUUAAUAAUUCGAACUCAAAACUAUUAUUCGUAACCAACAAGUUGAGAAGUACUGAUCUACACCGAAAUUUACCAAAAUCUCUUCUUCUUAUAGGGAAACAAAAAGAAAGCGAAGAUAUAUAAAUCUUCUAAUAUCCUCCAGAAGAUUCUGGAUGAAAAAUAGUCGACACGUGGUAGGAGACUGGUAUUAUUGGAAGACAGAGAAGAUAAGGAAAGAGGAAUAACAGUAGAAGAUAUAUAGGAUUCGCAGCUAAAUCGUCGAUGCUGUUACGUACGAAGCGCAUCGUUCACCGAGCUGGCAAAUGGACAACAUCUGCAAUGGACAGAUACGUGUUGUGAUACGUGUUGAAUACGUGUUGUGUCUUUAGUACUUAAGAGUGAGAUAGAGAUAGAGAGAAAGAUUUCAGGGAGGAAUUAACUGAAAUCAAGAGUAGGUGGGAGGUCGAAUAGCGUCCUCUCAUUAUGGCCGCCCCUUGGUCCCGGGAUCGUUCGACGAUCCUUGUACGUGUGUCGUCUCUUGUUCACGCUAAAGAUGGGUGUAUAACAAUCGUAUACAGUAUAUCUCCAAAUUUAGAUUCGAGGGUGACUUACUGGUGGAUUUUUCGAGCACUCUUUUGCGAACCUGUGCUAGACAUACCUCGUGGGGCACCUUUAAACAAAACGAUCAUUCGUUAUUGGGCUCGGUCGAGUCGAUCGGAUUCACUAGGAUCGAUAUAGGGUCGCUAAGUUCAUCGCUUAUGACGAAGAAAGGCGAAGGAAAUCUUUUUGAUUGGUUAUCGAAUUUCGUUGCUCGUUACUGGUCGCUGUUGAGCGUUAUUUAUAACUAUCUGUUGAUAAAUAUCGAUCGGCUUAUCUCUAAAGAAGAAAUUCAACAAGUCUGACAAUCUUUUAUUUAAAAAAAAAAAAGUACGCAAAAUCUUCUCAAAAAAAAGAAAAAGCGAAAAACGAUUUUACACACGCGUCAACUCAACGUAAAGAGAAUAGAUCUUGGUGAAAUGAGCAACAGACGUAAAGAGACUCACUGUUUCUGAUUACUUGUAUCAGUGAUAGGCACUCGUGUUCUAAUAAUAAGUACUCGUACUGACACACGAGGCGAGUCUGCGUGAAUCAGGCGACACCAACAACACGUAAAAACACACGAUAAAGAAACUCUGGAACCCGAGACGGUCCGCGUCUACACAACGACGAAUGCGGACGGUCCGGUAUCCGGUGGUCGACCAGCGUCGAGCAUGCACAAUGAUACGUCAUUUUCGUGCCUCGAGGCGUUCUGUCAGAGUCAUCUCGCCGGCAAUCGACGACUUCCGUCCGUCUAUAAUCGU